CACCAUGGCAGAGAAGUUUUUGACUGUCUCUACUGCAGGGACCCCUUGCAGAGGAAAAAGUAUGUGCAGAAGGGUGACCACCACUGCUGCCUGAAAUGCUUUGACAGGUUCUGUGCCAACACCUGCGUGGAAUGCUGCAAGCCCAUCCAUGUGGACUCCAAGGAGGUGCACUAUAAAAACUGCUCCUGGCAUGACCCCUGCUUCCACUGUGCCAAGUGCCUUCACCCCUUGCCAAUGAGACCUUUGUGGCCAAGGACAACAAGAUCCUGUGCAACAAGUUUGCCACUCAGGAGGACUCUCCCAAGUGUAAGGGGUGCUUCAAGGCCUUUGUGGCAGGAGAUCAAAAAUGGAGUACAAGGGGACCAUCUCGCACAAAGACCGCUUCACCUGUAGCAACUGCAAGCAAGUCAUGGGGACUGGAAGCUUCUUCUCUAAAGGGAAGGACUUCUACUGUGUGACUUGCCAUGAGACCAAGUUUGCUAAGCAUUGUGUGAAGUGCAACAAGGCCAUCGCAUCUUGGGGAGUCACUUACUAGGAUGAGCCCUGGCAUGCCGAGGGCUUUGUAUGUGUUACCUGCUCUAAGAAGCUGGCUGUGCAGCAUUUCACCACUGUGGAGGACCAGUAAUACUGUGUGGAUUGCUACAAGAACUUUGUGGCCAAGAAGUGUGCUGGAUGCAAGCACCCCAUCACUGGGUUUGGUAAAGGCUCCAGUGUGGUGGCCUAUGAAGGACAAUCCUGGCACGACUGCUGCUUCCACUGCAAAAAAUG
rnacentral:lncRNA from 1 species